AUGCUUUAUCAUGGCAGGAAAUUAGCUUGUGUAUUUUGCUAACAUAACACAUGCAAAUCCCUGAUUAGCUCUUUAACAUAAACUUCCUUCACUGACUGAUCAACACAGGAACACUAGACAGAGUGGUGGAGGGAAAGUAAUUGGAAUGAGUACACUUGGAAAUCCUUUAAUGAGGAUCAAUUGGAGGACAAGUCUGGUGCCAGCAGCCGCGGUAAUUCCAGCAGCAAUAGCGUAUCCUAAAGUUGCUGCAGUUAAAAAGCUCGUAGCUGGAUCUCGGGCCACAAGGCGAGCUACUGUUUGUCCCAGCCCCUGCCUCUCGAUGCUCUUAGCUGACCAGCGGGGUCCAAAGCGUUUACUUUGGAAAAAAAUACAAAGGGGUUUAAAGCAGGCCCGGUCACAUGAGAAUACCACAGCUAGGAAUAAUGGAAUAGGACUCUGGUUCUAUUUUGUGGGUUUUCUCUCUGAACUGGGCCCAUGAGGGAUGGCCAGGGGCAUUCGUAUUGUGCCGCUAGAGGUGAAAUUCUUGGACGCAAGACGGACGAAAGCAAAAGCAUUUGCCAAGAAUGUUUUCAUUAAUCAAGAACGGAAAAAGAAAGUACUG
rnacentral:ncRNA from 1 species